rnacentral:rRNA from 1 species
UACGAAGGGGGCUAGCGUUGCUCGGAAUCACUGGGCGUAAAGGGUGCGUAGGCGGGUCUUUAAGUCAGGGGUGAAAUCCUGGAGCUCAACUCCAGAACUGCCUUUGAUACUGAAGAUCUUGAGUUCGGGAGAGGUGAGUGGAACUGCGGGUGUAGAGGUGAAAUUCGUAGAUAUUCGCAAGAACACCAGUGGCGAAGGCGGCUCUCUGGGACGGUACUGACGCUGAGACGCGAAAGCGUGGGGAGCGAACAGG